UACUUAUUAAGUUAAUGGCAGUUACUAAUGGAUGGAAACAGCUUUACAAACUUUCUGUCUCUGUCACUGUCUAAGCUGAACUUUCAUCAAUGACAUAAUUUUAUAAUUGGUAGUGAAAAUCAUACAGUAACUCUAACUCUUAAGAAACCAGAUAGCAAGCUGGACACGGUAGCGCAUAGCUUUAAUUUCAGCGCUCUGGCAAAGAGGCAGGAAUGUUUCUGAGUUUAAGGCUAUCUUGUUCUACAUAGCAAGAAAUAGGCCACCUAAUGUCAGAUGGUGAGACUCUAUCUCAAAAGAAAGAAGAAAGAAGGGAAGGAAGGAAAGAAGGAAGGAAAAGACAAAGUAAAGCAGACAAGGCAAUGUCUAGCAGUAGUAGUUACUUUAAAAUACAUCCACUCUCUGACUAUAUAUAGCAAAUCAAGAAAAUCUUUGAAGGGUGGGAUGUAGGACUGACAUAGCACUACACCAUUUUAAAGUUUAGAACAGUAAUAAGUAUCAGCAAAUAUUAAGGUUGUCUUACUUUUUCAAUUUGUAAAGUCUUAGAAAUUUACGUUCACCAAAAAUCAUAUUUUACAAAGAAUGGCUACCCACUUAAUUUUCCCAGAAAUGAACAGGCCAUCUUCACGUACAGCAUCACCUUGAAUAAGGGGUAUAUGUUAAAGCAGACAACACAGUCACUGGCCAUGUUAGGUUCAGGUGGACUUGGAUUUGGGCAGGUCCUACAGAUGUGCUCCAGACAAACCCUUGACCUCGUUGAGCCUCAACUACCUUCAGAUGAACAUCAGCUACUUUGAAGAUUUUUGCAAGAAUUAGAAAAUAUACUCAAAUUAUGUGACAUUAUAUAUGAUAUACAUCAAUUAGUAUUGAUAUUAAUUAGUUUAUAUGCAUGGUAGAGAAUGAUCUCAAAAGGAGUGUUUUAGUUACAAAGCAAGAUUCUUUGAAAAAAGUUCCAUUUUAUGCUUAGAAUACAGGUUCUGGUUAAACUAAACUAAUGCUAUGUAGUUUCUAAACACUAAGUAUUAAUAAGACACAUAAUUAUUAUAAUUCUACUUUUAAUUGAUGUACAAUAAUUGUACAUACACAUGGUUCUUGUCAUCCAAAGAAGCCAGGAUGGAAAGUGAAGAAGGAUUACUAGCAAGGAGGACAGACUGAGGAGAGGGUACUUAAGUGCGCCUUUGAGUGACUGUUAAUUAUCUGUGUAACUGUUUGAUGAAUGUCCCUGUGCUCCUCUAGGCUGGCGGUACCACAGGGACAAUAAUGUUGAUUUAUCUCAAAACAACACUGCAAUUGCCCAGUUCAGGACAGCUGAAUAAAUACUGACUGGCUGAAUGAAGACUAUCAAAGCUAAAUUUGCUACUCAUCACCACCACUUCAAAGAGCUCUUUAUCCCUGUUUCAGAGUUCUGAGACUGGAGAAGUCAAGGACCUUCCUAAAGAAGGACAAGUUACUACAGAGAAACCUGGUCUUAAAAAAAAAAAGGACAAGUUAAGCAUUACACUGAAUAAAACACACACACACACACACACGCACGCACGCACACAUCAUGGGGGGAGGGCGGCAAAAAAACCUCUGCUUUAAGGUAAGAAUAAUUAAUCAUAAAUUUAUAAUAGGAACUAUUUUUUAUAUAAUCAAUAUACAAUGCUUAAAAUUGUAAUAACUCUCUAUGAUUGUUUUCUGGCUGUUGACAGAGGUUUCUGUCCCACCUGGUUCUUCAGUCAUUCAGUCCCAAAGGAAUCACACAGAGGUCUACAUCAGUUAUAAACUGAUUGGCCUAGUAUCUCAGGCUUCUUAUUAAUUAAUUUUAAAUCUUAAAUUGGCCCAUUAUUCUUGUCUAUGUUAGCCAUGUGGCUUGGUACCUCUUUCAGUGAAGGCAGUCACAUCUUGCUUGCUCUGUGUCUGGAUCACGACUACGGACUUAAACUUCCCUCUUUCCAGAAUUCUCAUUGUCCCACCUCUACCUCCUGCCUAGUCACCCUGCCUAUACUUCCUGCCUCACUACUGGCCAAUCAGCGUUUAUUUAAAAUAUAAGUGACAAGCUACAGACCAUUGUAGCUUCUGGCCUUAUACAUCUUAGUAUAGAAAGAAUGUCCUACAGAAAAGAAAGAAAUCCUAGUAGUAAUUGAGAUCUUCAUGAUUUCUCUGUUCUAUCAGCAAAUAGCAAUUAUCCUUUAAGUUUCUAAUUCUCACCACUUACCUAGUCAGCAACAUAAAGAAUGAGUUAAAGCUCAUUCACAAACUGUUGAGGGAGUGGCGGGGCUGCGACCCCGGCACCCCGGCCGCCUGCUAGCUUAUGCCCCGAAAUACUCUCCUUCUGAUCCCAAGUGGGAACACAAACAUCCAGUCCCAUAAAAUCCAUUGGAAUGCUUUAAAGCCAGAGUUCACGCUGGCAGCACAGCCCCAAGAAGCUGUGCUUUAAAAUGACACAGCAUUUUUUCUGCUGCUGUUCCCGAAUCAGGAAAUCUCUCUAUAGCAUCCCACCAACAAACAGCAAAAUUCUGUGUUAAACUCUCUCUCCCUUAUUUUUAAGCCUUCUCAGGUUUUUAAGUGGAUUUAGCCCCACGUUGGGCGCCACUCUGUAGCGAUAGGAGCGGCAGGGCUGCGUCCCCGGCACUCGGCCGCCCGCAUGGCUAGCUUAUGCCCGAAAUAAUUACACGGAAACUGUAUUCUUUUAAACACUGCCUUGUUGAAAUAAGAGCGGCGGGGCUGUGUCCCCAACACCCCGGCCGCUUGGCUAGCUCAUGCCCGAAAUAAUAACACACAAACUGUAUUCAUUGGCUCGUUAUCUGUAGCCUCUUAUUGGCUAGCUCUUACAUAUUAAUCUAACCCAUUUCUAAUAAUCUAUGUAGCCCAUGAGCUGGCUUACCAGGAAAGAUUUUAGCCUGCGUCUGUCUGGAAUGGGAGAAUCAUGGCGACUCCUCGACUAAGCUUCUUUCUCCCAGCAUUCUGUUCUGUUUACUCCAUCCACCUAAGGGUUGGCCUAUCAAGGGGCCUAGGCAGUUUCCUUAUUAAUAAGAAAUCACUCCCACAUCAACAAACCAACAGUGUGCUUUAUUCGCUCUGCACAGUGCUACACAGUUCAGUAAUGGGCACAGGGUAAAGAAUAAGACAGGCAAGAGCACUUUCUCAGAGAGGCUGUAUACAUCCUGUGAAGUCUACUUUGCCCCUACAGCACUCCUGUAAUGUAUUCAAGUUCCUCUACAGAAAGAAAAUCGUUGUUUGGAAUAUUUCUAGACUGCCAGUGUAAGUUAUUUCUAUCCAAAUUUUUGCAAUGCUGAGUAUGUCAAAAAACAUUUUUGAAGUUGCAUAAAGUUUAAUAAAAUUUUACAAUUAAAAUAUUCAGUUUCACCUAAUAUCAUCAGUUAAAGAAAUGAUCUGCGAGUAUUCUCCCUUGGCACAAGCAAGCAACUCUGGUUCACUGUCACACAUAUUUUGGAAAAGGAGCCAAAAUGAGUAACCACCAUAAUGAGAAUGAAAAGCAUAGUCGGAAGUAAAGACUGUAAGUUCUGGAUAUCCUCUGAUUCUGUCAGCACCAAUCAAGCCUUGGAUGCAAGGCAACCAACUAAAUUUAGAACUUGGACCACACUAUGUGUUAGAUGCUGCCAUGCAGUUUUGAUCAGUCCCAAUUGUGAAUUUGGCUGUUCUCAUAACACAUGUUACGAAUCAUCUAAUAGAACCGGAGAAGGCUGAGUCCUCUCAAGUUUAACAGAAAUGAACAUAGAAAAGCAAAGGCAGUAAACAUGUGUAGGUAAGAUUAUAAAUGAAAUAAGGUGGAACGACAAGGAAGAGAAAACGCAACAAGCAAAUUAUCAUUCUACCAUGUUUUCUAUGUACCCUACAGGAAUUACACACAAUAUUAAGUAACAUUAUAUAACGAAAAAUAAGUUCAUUUUCCUUUAAGAUUUCUUAACAUCAAGCAAUCUCAGUUUGGUAGUCACAAGCUUUUAAUACCUUUUCAACAUUGUCUAACUUCCCAGUGACCAAGAGCGGCCGUGGAUUUUCUGAACUUUUUAAAUCAACAGUUUUCAGUUCAAUAACAUUGCUUCUACAAGAGGUUUUUCAAAUGCUUUGACUCCUUUCCAUUCUUAAUAGUUAUUACAGGCUUUAGAGAGCUAUACAUGUGGAUUACGCAGAACAAUAUCUAAAUUGUCAAUAAAAAUUGAGAAAAAUUAAAUAUUGAUUUAAAUGUUUUAGAAUGUUAACAGUUCAUAAAACUAAAAAUAGAAAAAAAGAGUGGCACAAUGUUUUUCUUCAAAAUCUAACAUUUGGCCUAAACUGUAUAUACAAAAUAAAAACAGGAAAGAAAAGCACUAGAUUUUUAAAUUUGCUUCUGCAUCCAAUCAUUUGUAAUAUUUGGUUAGUUGCUACAAAGAAAAUCCAGCCUCAAAUACAUAUCAACGUGGAAGAUAAGGGAGCAAUUCAUUACCCUUUUCUGAUUUUUCUUCAUUUUUAUACAUACAACAAAGCUUGACAAGAGGUAUUUCCUUAAUAUCAGCUUCAGUGCAGAAUUUCAAACCUUCCCAGUAAAUAUUUUGUAGUUUAUACGCGUCACGAUAAUAUAUUAUAUGGCGAAUAGUUUUAGACACUGCAACCAAAUAUUAAGAUGUGUCAUAAAAACAAAUUCAAUAAUAUCCCUUGGAUGACAUCGCCAAAAGCAUCGUAGCUUUUUAAUCAAACACUUUUUUAAUCAAGUCAGGUCGGUUUUCCAUUCACAAACACUUUUCUAAAAACGAAAUUUUGUUUUGACGAUUUAACAACAUAUAUUAAAUAAUAAUAGUGUGUAAUGAGGGGGAAAGUGUGAACUAAUUUGGAAAGCAAUGAACCAGUGCAAAUAUCACAAAAUACCAUCUGCGCCAUUAGCUUCUCCUCAGCUGUUCUGGUGGAUGGCCCUCUCUGAUGGGGGUCUUGCUCUGUCUGACACCUUUCCAGAGAUGCGGUACCCAAUUAACUGAGUGCAACUUAGGGGAAGAUUCAGGGCACCGACUACGAAAUACAACUAGCAAGGAGGGACAUCUAAGUUUUAUAAAAGUGAAACACGCAUCGGGCGCUUUUGAACUACUGUCAGUGGAACCUUGACUCACACUUGACUUGCACUCUAACAGGCAACCCGUCGACAAGUUAGCUGCGCCAACUGCAGAGCUGUGCAAUCAAAAUUCCGGGGGAUGGGAGUUCUUCCACUUCAAGUGAACUGGCUGGCCCAGGUUGGGUAACCGGAGCAAGGUGAAUGAAAAUGGAUUGUGUGACGUGUGCAUCACACGAGUGAAAGGAAAUUAAAUUAAGUUCCCUGCUGCCAAACUUCAAAACUGCUUCUCAUCAGUAUGCUUUUGGUCCCAGUUCCCUCAUCAGGACUACAAACUUCAAGGAGAGUUUUUUUCAAGCUUAAAGGAUGCCGACUUUUCUUGGAAGCUUUUACUUUAGAAAAUGUACAGUUGUUAAUUCAGCUUUUUUCACUUUAAAAGAACUUGAAGUCGGACUUUCAUCUGCUUACAUUUAAAUAAUGCCGUCUUUGUCUUCAGUUUCCCGUUAAGUAACAGUAAGAUAAAUCAAAUACCUACUUUUUCCUGGGGCAGUGGGGCAAGGACUGAGUAUGAAUGUAGUUAGAUAUUGUUAAAUACUACACAGUAAUGGUAAAUGUGGUUAGCGUUUUUGGUUCUUUGUUGAGAUUUCUUUCAGUCUUUAUGACAAACAGAUGUUUACGUCUUUCUUAAAAGAGUAGUUUUCAAGAGACAGUGAAAGACCCCCGGAGUGGAGAGACUCAAGUCUCUGGAUAACAUGACCUCCCCACCCCCCAAGAAUUCAUAAGAGACCAUCCUUGCUGCAAUCACAUGAGGUUUACUGACAGGAACCAGAGCGCAGGGGUACAGGAGUUCGACCCCAGUAGCUGGGAGAAGGAGUAUUUAAGGAAAGAAACCAUAACCCAAAGGGGGUAGGGAGGGCAUCAUUGGAAAAUUCUGAAAAUACCAAUGAUAAUUACAAGGGGGUAACUCCCCGUUUCUCAAGAUUGUUCUCAAGAUUAUAAUCUACCUUUAUGGUCAGCUAGUUCCUGGAACAGAGUCACUGAACAGGCUAACCUAGAUUUUUGGCUGUACUCUUCCUGGUCCUUCAAUAGAUGUUUAAGGUUCUGGAGGUGCAGUGUAGUCCUUGAACUGGCCCUCAGCAAGAUCACUCUGAAGAUACUCCAGCAGCUACAGAGGACCACUGAAGACAUGCUCCAGAAAAGGCAGUAGUAGGAAGCAAGACUAGCAUUGAUGAAUUCUACUUAAUUCUGCAGCCGUUUUCACCGGAGACCUCAGGCAAUUCCUUUGUGGUGGCUGAAAAGAAGAAAAACAAAACAUAAUGAAAAAACACUCCAUUUUAUGCUAAGCACCCAUCUUCAGACUCAGUAGCCAUUUGUCUUACCUGGAAGGUAAGUUUCCAGUAACCCUCACUUGUGACUUCACCCAGAAAUGUACAGCAUUACUGCAUGACUAAUUGCUUUUUGGACUUCUUUAACUAAAUAGACAGAUACCCAAAGAUUGUUUUGAGUGGCCUUAACCACGUAAACUUGGCAGAACAGAUCAGUUUUUGCUUGCUUGCAUAA